rnacentral:misc_RNA from 1 species
AAAGUCGUAACAAGGUCUCCGUUGGUGAACCAGCGGAGGGAUCAUUACCGAGUUGAGAGACUCCCGCACCAUCGCGAACGCUACCCCUAAACGUUGCCUCGGCGGGCGCGCCCCGCCGGCGGCACCCCCCAGAACCCUGACCUCGCGCCGCCGGGCCUCUCUGAGUGAGCUGUAUCAAAUCAGUCAAAACUUUCAACAACGGAUCUCUUGGUUCUG